AGUUACUACACAAGUCAUGAUGUCAUCCCUGGCGAUUUCUCUUUAAAUAGAUUGGCUUAUAAGUGGCCAAACAACUGCACAAGGGGAUGGACGGUGGCCAAACAACUGCACAAGGAGAUGAAGGCAAUCCACAGCCUUCAAGAUUAAUAGCCACCGAUUUCCAUGAAUUGGUCCAACCCAUUUUUGAAGCCAACCAAACCUGAAAACUGGCCUAUGACCAUCAAUUCACUUCAGUCUGUUCUGGCACACAUUCCAGAAAAUCAAGUAUUCUACAUGCUGGUUUGGGGGUUGAACACAACUGAAAAGCAGCAUAAAAAUAAAAGCAUUUGUCACCAACCUUAUGUAUAACAAGGAAUUUUGUCCAGGGAUUUUGGACCUAUCUAAAG
rnacentral:lncRNA from 1 species